UGUCCAGGGGCGGGAAUCGAACCCACAACCUUCCGCUUACCGGGCAGAUGCCAUGUCCACUAGGCUACCCUGGG